ensembl:snRNA U6 U6 spliceosomal RNA
GUGUUCAUUUCAGUAGCACAUAUAUCAAAAUUGGAAUGAUAGAGAAGUUUAGCAUGGUCUCUGCACAAGAAUGACAUGCAAAUUUCUGAAGUGUCCCAUAUUUUU